GGAAAGAGCCGCCAUAGCGGGUGACAGCCCCGUAAGCGAAAGGAAUCGGGUACCUAUCAGUAUCCUGAGUAGGGCGGGGCCGGAGAAACCUUGUCUGAAUCCACCAGCACCAUCUGGUAAGCCUAAAUACUACCGGGAGACCGAUAGCGAACCAGUACCGUAAGGGAAAGGUGAAAAGAACCCUAAGAAAGGGAGUGAAAAGACUCUGAAACCAUACGCUUACAAGCGGUCGGAGUCCCGACUUGUCGGGAUGACGGCGUGCCUUUUGCAUAAUGAGCCUACGAGUUAUACCUCACUGGCAGCCUAAGCACUUCAGGUGCGCAAGCAAAGCGAAAGCGAGUCUUAACAGGGCGACCAAAAAGUCAGUGGGGAUAGACGCGAAACCGUGUGAUCUAUCCAUGGGCAGGCUGAAGGUCCGAUAAUCUCGGAGUGGAGGGCCGAACCGGUGAAUGUUGAAAAAUUCUCGGAUGACCUGUGGAUAGGGGUGAAAGGCCAAUCAAACUCGGAGAUAGCUCGUACUCCCCGAAAUGCAUUUAGGUGCAGCGUCGUGAAGUGAUUGUUGGAGGUAAAGCUACUGAAAAGGCUAGGGGGCUUCACCGCCUACCAACCCUUAACAAACUCUGAAUGCCAACAAUCAGCAGCGGCAGUGAGCCCCAGGGUGCGAAGGUCAUGGGGCGAGAGGGGAACAACCCAGACCAACAGCUAAGGUCCCUAAAUGUGGUUAAGUUGCAUUAAACGAGGUGGGAAUGCACUGACAGCUAGGAUGUUUGCUUGGAAGCAGCAAUUCAUUUAAAGAGUGCGUAACAGCUCACUAGUCGAGCGUUCCUGCGCGGAAAAUAAGCGGGCAUCAAACCACAUACCGAAGCUUUGGACUCGCAAGAGUGGUAGGGGAGCAUUCUGUGGCGUCGAAGCCGUGUCGUGAGACAUGGUGCAGCCAACAGAAAAGCAAAUGUAGGCAUAAGUAACGAUAAAUGGCGUGGAAAACGUCAUCGCCGUAAGACUAAGGGUUCCUUGAUCUACGUUCAUCGGAUCAGGGUUAGCCGGGACCUAAGGAUAAGCCGAAAGGCGAUGCCGAUGGAAAGUGGGUUAAUAUUCCUACGCCUGUGCAUACUGCUACAUGGGGACGGAGGGGUGGAGGCAUCGCGCACUGACGGAAUAGUGCGUUAAAUCCUUCCGAAAGGGGGAGAUAGUACCGCAAAGGCUUCGGCCUGCGCGGAUAGUGUGCCAAUACCACUUCCAGGAAAAGCCGUUGUAGCUUCAGGUAUGCAGAGCCCGUACCGUAAACCGACACAGGUAGUCGAGGAGAGCAUCCUCAGGCGCUCGAGUGAUUCGUGGCUAAGGAACUAGGCAAAAUGGUCUCGUAACUUCGGGAGAAGAGACGCCCCCCCAGUGAUGAGGGGGCCGCAGUGAAGAGGCCCAGGCGACUGUUUAGCAAAAACACAUGGCUCUGCAAAAUCGCAAGAUGAAGUAUAGGGCCUGACACCUGCCCGGUGCCGGAAGGUUAAGGAAGGGGCUUAGGAGCAAUCCGAAGGUCUUGACUGAAGCCCCGGUAAACGGCGGCCGUAACUAUAACGGUCCUAAGGUAGCGAAAUUCCUUGUCGGGUAAGUUCCGACCUGCACGAAUGGUGUAACGAUCUGGGCACUGUCUCAGCCACGAGCUCGGUGAAAUUGAAGUAUCGGUGAAGAUGCCGAUUACCCGCAACGGGACGGAAAGACCCCGUGAACCUUUACUACAGCUUUGCAUUGGGCUUGAGUUGUUGAUGCGUAGGAUAGGUGGGAGGCUUUGAUCCGGUGGUUCUGGCCAUCGGGGAGUCGACGUUGAAAUACCACCCUUUGGCUAUUUGAGUCCUAACACAGAAAAUGUAGACAGUGCAUGGUGGGUAGUUUGACUGGGGUGGUCGCCUCCUAAAGAGUAACGGAG
rnacentral:rRNA from 1 species